rnacentral:misc_RNA from 1 species
AUCUUUUUUUUUAUUCAUUUAUGAAUAUGAAAAUUUUUUUCUUUUAUAAAGAGUGGGGGGGUUUUAAAUAUAUUCGCAAAACCUCGCUUUCGCUCGGUUUGCUUAAAAAAUCAUUAAUGAUCCUUCCGCAGGUUCACCUACGGAAA